rnacentral:rRNA from 1 species
AUUGAACGCUGGCGGCAUGCCUAACACAUGCAAGUCGAACGGCAGCGCGGGCUUCGGCCUGGCGGCGAGUGGCGGACGGGUGAGGAAUACAUAGGAAUCUGCCCAGUCGUGGGGGAUAACCCGGGGAAACCCGGACUAAUACCGCAUACGACGGUGACGUGAAAGCAGGGGACCUUCGGGCCUUGCGCGAUUGGAUGAGCCUAUGUCGGAUUAGCCAGUUGGCGGGGUAAAGGCCCACCAAGGCGACGAUCCGUAGCUGGUCUGAGAGGAUGAUCAGCCACACUGGGACUGAGACACGGCCCAGACUCCUACGGGAGGCAGCAGUGGGGAAUAUUGGACAAUGGGCGAAAGCCUGAUCCAGCAAUGCCGCGUGAGUGAUGAAGGCCUUAGGGUUGUAAAGCUCUUUUACCCGGGAUGAUAAUGACAGUACCGGGAGAAUAAGCUCCGGCUAACUCCGUG